rnacentral:rRNA from 1 species
UACGUAGGUGGCGAGCGUUAUCCGGAAUUAUUGGGCGUAAAGAGCGCGCAGGUGGUUGAUUAAGUCUGAUGUGAAAGCCCACGGCUUAACCGUGGAGGGUCAUUGGAAACUGGUCGACUUGAGUGCAGAAGAGGGAAGUGGAAUUCCAUGUGUAGCGGUGAAAUGCGUAGAGAUAUGGAGGAACACCAGUGGCGAAGGCGGCUUCCUGGUCUGUAACUGACGCUGAUGUGCGAAGGUGUGGGUAUCAAACAGGAUUAGAUA